rnacentral:rRNA from 1 species
UACGGGGGGGGGUAAGCGUUGUUCGGAAUUACUGGGCGUAAAGGGCUCGUAGGCGGCCAACUAAGUCAUACGUGAAAUCCCUCAGCUUAACUGGGGGAACUGCGUGUGAUACUGGAUGGCUUGGAUUUGGGAGAGGGAUGCGGAAUUCCAGGUGUAGCGGUGAAAUGCGUAGAUAUCUGGAGGAACACCGGUGGCGAAGGCGGCAUCCUGGACCAAUAUUGACGCUGAGGAGCGAAAGCUAGGGGAGCAAACGGGG